UCCCUAUUGAAAUUUGUUCGUUCCUUCAA
rnacentral:piRNA from 1 species